rnacentral:lncRNA from 1 species
UCCGAGAUCUCUACGUUACCCUCAGUCUGAGUCCCUGCCACAGCCGCCGGUUCGUGCCAUGAGUGCUCCGUGCCAUUGCUUGGCGGCGCCGCCUCGCCACCGCCCUGGGGACCCUCCUGCCACACCUUGGCGUUGGGGUUCAGGCCAGCUCCUUUGGAUGUUACCUCCACGAACAGCAGCAUCGCGUCCCCCGCGCUCCGGCCGGCGGACCCGCGAUCCACGCCGCCCUCCCCGCUGCCCGGCGGCGGCCGCGCCAGCGCCGAGGACACCCGGGCUCCGCCUCCGGCUGCUGCCGCCAGGCCCGGCCCCCGUCUCCCACCGCCACCCGCUGCCUGCUU